rnacentral:rRNA from 1 species
AGAGCGCAGGGUGGAUGCCUUGGCACUAAGAGCCGAUGAAAGACGUGAUAAGCUGCGAUAAGCUGCGGUAAGGAGCAAAUAUCCAUUGACCCGCAGAUCUCUGAAUGGGGAAACCCACAUGAGAACACCUCAUGUAUCCAUACGCCAAUCCAUAACGUAUGGAGGGGAACCCGGUGAACUGAAACAUCUAAGUAGCCGGAGGAAGAGAAAGAAACAUCGAUUCCGUAAGUAGCGGCGAGCGAACGCGGAAGAGCCCAAACCAUGGUGCGUGCACCAUGGGGUUCGGACUGCAUAAUUGAUUCAAUGAUCCUAGCAGAAUGGUUUUGGGAAAGCCAGCCGGAGAGGGUGAAAGCCCCGUAAGCGAAAGGAAAGUUGACAUGGCAGGAUCCAGAGUACAUCGAGACACGUGGAACCUUGAUGGAAGGAGCGGGGACCACCCCGUAAGGCUAAAUACUACUUAGUGACCGAUAGCGCAUAGUACUGUGAAGGAAAGGUGAAAAGGACCCCGGGAGGGGAGUGAAAGAGAACCUGAAACCCUGUGUUUACAAACUGUCGGAGGGCUUUAUAUGCCCGACGGCGUACUUUUUGUAGAACGGUCCGGCGAGUUGUGCAUACUGGCAAGGUUAAGGGAUAAAGUCCCGGAGCCGCAGGGAAACCAAGCCUUAAUAGGGCGCGAUAGUCAGUGUGUGCAGACCCGAAACCGGGUGACCUAUCCAUGUCCAGGUUGAAGUUGCCGUAAAAGGCAAUGGAGGACCGAACGCACAUCCGUUGAAAAGGGUGGCGAUGAGGUGUGGAUAGCGGAGAAAUUCCAAUCGAACCCGGAGAUAGCUGGUUCUCCUCGAAAUAGCUUUAGGGCUAGCCUCGUUUUAGUCUGGUGGAGGUAGAGCACUGAAUUCCCAAGGGGGCGUCAAAGCUUACUAAGGGAUAUCAAACUCCGAAUGCCAUACAGAUGAUGAACGGGAGUCAGACUAUACGAGAUAAGUUGGAUAGUCAAAAGGGAAAGAGCCCAGACCCGCAGCUAAGGUCCCAAAGUGCAUGUUAAGUGGAAAAGGAUGUGGGAUCUCUAAGACAACUAGGAUGUUGGCUCAGAAGCAGCCAUUCAUUCAAAGAGUGCGUAACAGCUCACUAGUCGAGAGGUCCUGCGCCGAAAAUGUCCGGGGCUAAAACAUGCCACCGAAGCUUGGGAAUGACAUAGUCAUUGGUAGAGGAGCAUUCUUAACGCGAAGAAGCAGUACCGGAAGGAGCUGUGGAGUGCUGAGAAGAGAGAAUGCCGGAAUGAGUAGCGAGAACAAGGUGAGAAUCCUUGUGGCCGAAUAUCCAAGGUCUCCAGGGUAAAGCUGAUCUGCCCUGGGAAAGUCGGGACCUAAGGUGAGGCUGAAAAGCGUAGCCGAUGGACAACAGGUUGAUAUUCCUGUACCGCAUGGUAACAGAACUGUGGGGACACGGGAGGGAAACAUGGGCCGGAAAUGGAAAGUCCGGUACAAACGGGGUAGUCGCACAGCAGGCAAAUCCGCUGUGCAUGAGACGAAGCCGUGAUGUGGAGCGAAUUAAAGUAGUGAAGCAUGUGCCCCCUCCUGUCGAGAAAAGCCGCUAUUGUUUGCCAUGCGCCCGUACCGUAAACCGACACAGGUGGAUGAGGAGAGAAUCCUAAGGCCGGCGGGAGAAGCAUUGUCAAGGAACUCGGCAAAAUGACCCCGUAACUUCGGGAGAAGGGGUGCCCACGCAAGUGGGCCGCAGAGAAUAGGCUCAAGCAACUGUUUAGCAAAAACACAGGUCUAUGCGAAACCGUAAGGUGAUGUAUAUGGGCUGACGCCUGCCCGGUGCUGGAAGGUUAAGAGGAGAGGUUAGCGCAAGCGAAGCUUUGAAUUGAAGCCCCAGUAAACGGCGGCCGUAACUAUAACGGUCCUAAGGUAGCGAAAUUCCUUGUCGGGUAAGUUCCGACCCGCACGAAAGGCGUAAUGAUUUGAGCGCUGUCUCGACAAUGCACCCGGUGAAAUUGAAGUACCAGUGAAGAUGCUGGUUACCCGCGCCAGGACGGAAAGACCCCAUGGAGCUUUACUCCAGUUUGGUACUGGAGCUUGGUAUUGCAUGUACAGGAUAGGUGGGAGCUUAUGAACCUGGGACGCCAGUCUCAGGGGAGGCGCUGUUGGGAUACCACCCUUGCAAUAUCGGGUUUCUAACCAGCCGCCGUGAUCCGGCGGUGGGACAAUGCCAGGCGGGGAGUUUGACUGGGGCGGUCGCCUCCGAAAGGGUAUCGGAGGCGCUCAAAGGU